CCUACGGGUGGCUGCAGUGGGGAAUAUUGGACAAUGGGGGGAACCCUGAUCCAGCCAUGCCGCGUGUGUGAAGAAGGCCCUCGGGUUGUAAAGCACUUUCAGUGAGGAAGAACGCCUGGUGGUUAAUACCCAUCAGGAAAGACAUCACUCACAGAAGAAGCACCGGCUAACUCCGUGCCAGCAGCCGCGGUAAUACGGAGGGUGCGAGCGUUAAUCGGAAUUACUGGGCGUAAAGCGCGCGUAGGUGGCUUGAUAAGCCGGUUGUGAAAGCCCCGGGCUCAACCUGGGAACGGCAUCCGGAACUGUCAAGCUAGAGUGCAGGAGAGGAAGGUAGAAUUCCCGGUGUAGCGGUGAAAUGCGUAGAGAUCGGGAGGAAUACCCGUGGCGAAGGCGGCCUUCUGGACUGACACUGACACUGAGGUGCGAAAGCGUGGGUAGCAAACAGGAUUAGAUACCCUAGUAGUC
rnacentral:rRNA from 1 species